ACAGGCGCGGCGGGCGGGCUGAGGCGAGCGGAGCCCGGGCGGCGUCGAGCGGGGCGAGGGGCGCGGGCUGGAGCCGCUGCCCACCGGCCCCACAGCCGGGGAGGGCUGCGGGAAGGGUUAGUGCGAGCUCGCCUGUGCCAAGAGCCGUGCCGGAACCAUGGGGAACCGCGGGAUGGAGGAUCUCAUCCCGCUGGUCAACCGGCUGCAGGACGCCUUCGCCGCCAUCGGGCAGAACGCCAACCUCGACCUGCCGCAGAUCGCCGUGGUGGGGGGGCAGAGCGCCGGCAAGAGCUCCGUGCUGGAGAAUUUCGUCGGGAGAGACUUUCUGCCACGUGGAUCUGGCAUCGUAACCAGGCGCCCACUGGUCCUUCAGCUGGUAAAUGCCAGCACAGAAUAUGGCGAAUUCCUGCACUGCAAAGGAAAGAAAUUCACUGAUUUUGAGGAGGUCCGUUUGGAGAUUGAGGCUGAAACAGAUCGUGUUACUGGCUCCAACAAAGGGAUUUCCCCUGUGCCCAUCAAUCUCCGAGUCUACUCUCCCCAUGUCCUGAACCUGACUUUGGUGGAUCUGCCGGGUAUGACAAAAGUCCCUGUAGGGGAUCAGCCCCCUGACAUCGAGUUCCAGAUCCGAGACAUGCUCAUGCAGUUUGUCACGAAAGAGAACUGCCUCAUCUUGGCAGUAUCUCCAGCCAACUCUGAUCUGGCCAAUUCUGAUGCCCUGAAGAUUGCAAAGGAGGUGGAUCCUCAAGGCCAGCGCACCAUUGGGGUCAUCACCAAGCUGGAUCUUAUGGAUGAAGGAACUGAUGCACGAGAUGUAUUAGAAAACAAAUUGCUUCCCCUCCGUAGGGGUUACAUUGGUGUGGUCAACAGAAGUCAGAAGGACAUAGAUGGCAAGAAGGACAUUCAGGCAGCUCUGGCUGCAGAGAGAAAAUUUUUUCUCUCCCACCCAGCCUACAGACACAUGGCUGAUCGCAUGGGAACCCCCUUCCUGCAAAAAGUUCUGAACCAGCAACUGACCAACCACAUCCGUGACACGCUGCCAGGGCUGCGGAACAAGCUCCAGAGCCAGCUCCUCUCCAUUGAGAAGGAGGUGGAGGAGUACAAGAACUUUCGCCCUGAUGACCCUGCUCGCAAGACCAAAGCUCUGCUUCAGAUGGUCCAGCAGUUUGCUGUGGACUUUGAGAAACGCAUUGAAGGCUCUGGAGACCAAAUUGACACCUAUGAGCUGUCAGGAGGAGCUCGGAUCAACCGCAUCUUCCAUGAGCGUUUCCCCUUUGAGCUGGUGAAGAUGGAGUUUGAUGAGAAGGAGCUGCGGCGGGAGAUCAGCUACGCCAUCAAGAACAUCCACGGUAUCAGAACCGGUCUCUUCACACCUGACAUGGCCUUUGAGACCAUUGUGAAAAAGCAGGUGAAGAAGAUUAAAGAACCUUGCCUGAAAUGCGUGGACAUGGUCAUUUCGGAGUUAAUCAAUACUGUUAGACAGUGCACCAAGAAGCUCAGCCAGUACCCUCAUCUGCGUGAGGAGAUGGAGAGGAUUGUCACCACCCACAUCCGUGAGAGAGAAGGCAGGACCAAGGAUCAGGUCAUGCUCCUAAUAGACAUUGAGCUGGCUUACAUGAACACAAACCACGAGGAUUUCAUUGGCUUUGCCAAUGCUCAGCAGAGGAGCAGCCAGAUGAGCAAGAAGAAGGCAGCUGGUAACCAGGAUGAGAUCCUGGUGAUCCGGAAAGGCUGGCUCACCAUCAACAACAUUGGCAUCAUGAAGGGAGGCUCCAAGGAGUAUUGGUUUGUCCUGACAGCGGAGAACCUCUCCUGGUACAAGGAUGAUGAGGAGAAGGAGAAGAAGUACAUGUUACCAGUGGAUAACCUGAAACUGCGAGAUGUGGAGAAGGGCUUCAUGUCCAGCAAGCACAUCUUUGCUCUCUUCAACACUGAACAGAGGAAUGUUUACAAGGACUACCGGCAGCUGGAGCUGGCCUGUGAGACCCAGGAGGAGGUGGACAGCUGGAAGGCUUCCUUCCUUCGGGCAGGAGUCUACCCUGAGCGUGUUGGGGACAAGGACAAAGCCAGUGAAGCAGAGGAGAAUGGAGGAGAUAGCUUCAUGCACUCCAUGGAUCCUCAGCUGGAGAGACAAGUGGAAACGAUCAGGAACCUGGUGGAUUCCUACAUGGCAAUUGUCAACAAAACCAUCAGAGACCUCAUGCCGAAGACAAUUAUGCACCUCAUGAUUAACAAUACCAAGGACUUCAUCCAUUCAGAGCUGCUGGCGAACCUGUACUCUUGUGGUGACCAGAACACGCUGAUGGAGGAGUCGGCGGAGCAGGCCCAGCGCCGUGACGAAAUGCUGCGCAUGUACCACGCCCUGAAAGAGGCCCUCAACAUCAUCGGGGACAUCAACACCAGCACCAUCAGCACCCCCAUGCCCCCACCGGUGGACGACUCCUGGCUGCAGGUGCAGAGCGUACCGUCUGGACGCAGGUCCCCCACAUCCAGCCCCACGCCGCAGAGGAGAGCUCCUGCAGUGCCCCCCGCCAGACCUGGGUCUCGCGGACCAGCUCCUGGGCCACCUCCUGCUGGUGGCUCCACACUGGGUGGUGCCCCCCCUGUGCCCUCCAGGCCAGGUGCCUCUCCUGAUCCCUUCGGGCCCCCACCUCAGGUUCCUUCUCGGCCUAAUCGUGCUCCUCCUGGUGUUCCCAGUUGUUCAUAGACUCCUCCGGAUCCUGAUACCAGCUUGUCAUUUGAGUUCACUGAUGAAUGGAGAAUUUCCAAUGACAAGGGACUCUUUCUCUUCCUCUCCUGUAUAUAGAAUAAGAAUGUUCCCUGCUAGCACUUGGACUCGGGUCCUUCUGCCAUGGAAUCACUAUCAGUGACCCCUGAGGACUGGCAGCCACGAAGGGGCCCCGCCUCACCUACUCGACCUACCAUAAUCCGACCGGCUGAACCGUCCCUCUUAGAUUUAUAACUUGAGGCUGUAGACAGCUGGCGACGAGUGCCGUGCUGGUGGCUUCCCCAUUCCACCCUCCCUUCCACAGCCACAGUCACUCCUCUCAUCCAUCCCACAUCCCUGCCUCCCACCACCCCUCCCUGGUGUGUCGUAAAACUCUAGCCUAGUGAUUGAGCUCUUCGUCUUCGCUCGUGCGUCCUGUAUUGCUUUGUGAGCAUAGAGUAGCCUUCAUUCAGUGGCAUGGAUCCCUGAAGUACACGGGCUCCUUGGAGAGAUCAGCCACAGGGACAUCCUCAGGUCCACGUGGUGGCUGUCCGUCCAGUAAUUCCACCUGCCUAGUCUAGCUUGGAUAAGUGUCCUGCCUGCGCCAGUUAGCUGUAGCACCCAGGACUGAACUGUAGCUGUUUUCUUUCCUUGUAGUUUAAGACAAAAGCGUGGCUUAGUAAAAAUGCGCUGUCAAAACACACGACACCUGUUAGGAACAGAUUAAAUGUCCUGUGUAUUAGCUUGACUUCUAAGGUGCAAAAAUUUCAUGUUGGGAACAGUGCAAUCAACUUCAUAUCUAAGUGAGGCAGAGAGAUCAGUAAGGGGGGUAUCAGUGGACCAGCCCAGUCCUGCCCGAGUGAAGUCUGAGAUAGCGCACACACCUCGGCGUGCAGGGAGCUCACGGACCUGCUCACACUCGGCUCCUGGAGCCGGGCCAUUCCUGCUGGGGGCAUGCUGGCUCCUGCCAGCACUUGUCUUGCAUCACCAAUUUUGGCUGACUUUCCUGAACCCAGCAGGGCGAGGGGAAUAGACACGCUGCUCCCCCCUUGCGAACGGACAGCCAAACGUUUCAGGGAGUUCACUGUGUGGUGUUUUGUUGAAAAUAUUUCUGCUUUGAACUAAGCACAUCUUUCAGUGUUUUUUGGGGUACUGUGGUGACUUUUUCCGUAGCCUUUUCUUGCAUGUGGAUGGUACGUGUUUGGGGAAACUUGUAACCAUUGUUGAUCACAACUCAUCUUGAAGUUUGGUUUUUACUUUUCAUGCUACGUGUGUUUAAAGAAAAAAAAAAAAAGACUUGAGAAUUAAAAAAAUAUAUCAACCCUGUACAUCUCAGAUGUCAUGUCUCUACCAGAGCUAAAUGAACCACCCGUGUUGCGGGCUGUCCUCCAGGCCUGAUUGCUGUUGAAGUUCUCUCGUUUUAGUGCUAUUACUCUAAAUUUCUGCUGUGGAUCCUCUGUUGUUCUGAUGCCAGUUCCUUUCUGUAUUUUAACGAUUGUUUUACUACUUCUCCCC